UAGGGAAUCUUCGGCAAUGGGGGAAACCCUGAUGCAGCGACGCCGCGUGGGCGAAGAAGGUUUUCGAAUCGUAAAGCUCUGUCCUAUGAGAAGAUAAUGACGGUAUCAUAGGAGGAAGCCCCGGCUAAAUACGUGCCAGCAGCCGCGGUAAUACGUAUGGGGCGAGCGUUGUCCGGAAUUAUUGGGCGUAAAGGGUACGUAGGCGGUCUAUUAAGUCAGGUGUGAAAGCGUGAGGCUUAACCUCAUUAAGCACUUGAAACUGAUAGACUUGAGUGAAGGAGAGGAAAGUGGAAUUCCUAGUGUAGCGGUGAAAUGCGUAGAUAUUAGGAGGAAUACCGGUGGCGAAGGCGACUUUCUGGACUUUUACUGACGCUCAGGUACGAAAGCGUGGGGAGCAAACAGG
rnacentral:rRNA from 1 species